rnacentral:rRNA from 1 species
ACUUACCAGGUCAAGACAUGGGCGUGAUUGACAGGCUAAUGACUUUUCUCGAUUCCAUGGAUGGUGGUGCAUGGUCGCACUUAGUUGGUGCAGUGAUUUGUCAGGUUUAUUCCGGUAACGAACGAGACCUCGGCCUUGUAAAUAGCUAUGCUGCUUACAGGGACAUUGGCGGCUACGCCAAGGAAGCUCGAGGCAAUUGCAGAUCUGGAAUGCCCUUAGAUGUCCUGGGUCGCACGCGUGCUACAAUGACGCCACGAACGAGCUUGCGUGAUGAAAGUUACGCAUAAUCAGCAGUCGGCGUCUUAAGGGAUAGUCUCUUGUAACUGUGGGACUCCAACUAGGAAUGUCUCGUAAGCACAAGUCAACAUCUUGUGUUGAUUACGUCCCUGCUCUUUGUACACACCGCCCGUCGCUCCUACCGAUCGAGUGUUUAGGUGAAUUUGAUGGACGUAAGGAAGUCAAAUAAACCUGAGCACUAGAGAAGAGAAGUCGAGAAUGCU